GCCUGGGUGGCUCAGUCGGUUAAGCAUCCGACUUCGGCUCAGGUCAUGAUCUCAUGGUUCGUGGGUUCGAGCCCCGUGUCAGGCU
rnacentral:tRNA from 1 species